AACGCAUAUUGCGCCCGAAGCUUCGGCUUAGGGCAUGCCUGCCUCAGCGUCGUUAUUAUGGCAAUGUACAAAGUACACGUAAGUCCGACCUCCAUGGCGUGUAUUGAUACACACAUUGGAGAAUAUGAUCAUUCCCGUGGCUUCGUUGCCUUUGGGUUGAUUGAAAAUAAGGGCAUGAGCAAGGACCACAAACGCUCCAACUGGAUAGGUUCGCAUCACGAUGUGUGCGCAACACGAAGUUGAAGCGUGGGCUUUGCAGAUGCCAUGCAGGAAGCCAUUGAGUUGGCGUAAUAACCAUUCGACCUGAGCUCAGGCAAGAUUACCCGCUGAACUUAA
rnacentral:misc_RNA from 1 species